GAUGAACGCUGACAGAAUGCUUAACACAUGCAAGUCUACUUGAACUUCGGUUUGGGUGCGGACGGGUGAGUAACGCGUAAAGAACUUGCCUCACAGUUAGGGACAACAUUUGGAAACGAAUGCUAAUACCUGAUAUUAUGAUUUUAGGGCAUCCUAAGAUUAUGAAAGUUAUAUACGCUGUGAGAGAGCUUUGCGUCCCAUUAGCUAGUUGGAGAGGUAACGGCUCACCAAGGCGAUGAUGGGUAGCCGGCCUGAGAGGGUGAACGGCCACAAGGGGACUGAGACACGGCCCUUACUCCUACGGGAGGCAGCAGUGGGGAAUAUUGGACAAUGGACCAAAAGUCUGAUCCAGCAAUUCUGUGUGCACGAUGACGUUUUUCGGAAUGUAAAGUGCUUUCAGUUGGGAAGAAAAAAAUGACGGUACCAACAGAAGAAGUGACGGC
rnacentral:rRNA from 1 species